CGCCCUGGUGAUGGGCAAAGAGACGCCUUUUUUGGUGAUGUUGUUCUUACAUCAGUCAGGGGCAGAGCGGUUGGCAGGCCUUUGGUCAUCCUAGCUUGAUGCCUGGAUUAGUAGUCAAAGCUGUUUUAUGCCUAGGACACUUAA